rnacentral:lncRNA from 1 species
GGCCAGCUAGACGGUUAAUGACACCAAGCAAGUUGUUAUAUGCCAUGUCACUUUGUCUUUACGUCUGUAAUGGAAAACAACAAAAAGGAUUGUUUUGUCAUUUUUCUAAAGUUGAGUGACUGAAAUGAAACUAAUAUAACUAUUAUGUUAGCUACCUCAAAAUUGAGUGGUUGUUGGUGUGAUUUAACUAAUGUUAUUUCUCUCUUUAACUUCGUUCUUUUAUCUUAAAGUUUUUCUUGCAUGUUUGGA